rnacentral:rRNA from 1 species
AGCGAACGCUGGCGGCAGGCCUAACACAUGCAAGUCGAACGAACCCUUCGGGGUUAGUGGCGGACGGGUGAGUAACACGUGGGAACGUGCCUUUAGGUUCGGAAUAACUCAGGGAAACUUGUGCUAAUACCGAAUGUGCCCUUCGGGGGAAAGAUUUAUCGCCUUUAGAGCGGCCCGCGUCUGAUUAGCUAGUUGGUGAGGUAAAGGCUCACCAAGGCUACGAUCAGUAGCUGGUCUGAGAGGAUGACCAGCCACAUUGGGACUGAGACACGGCCCAAACUCCUACGGGAGGCAGCAGUGGGGAAUUUUGCGCAAUGGGCGAAAGCCUGACGCAGCCAUGCCGCGUGGAUGAUGAAGGUCUUAGGAUUGUAAAAACCUUUCACCGGUGAAGAUAAUGACUGUAGCCGGAGAAGAAGCCCCGGCUAACUUCGUGCCAGCCGCCGCCGUAACAC